UCGUACCUUGUUGCUUCGGCGGGCCCGCCGUUUCGACGGCCGCCGGGGAGGCCUUGCGCCCCCGGGCCCGCGCCCGCCGAAGACCCCAACAUGAACGCUGUUCUGAAAGUAUGCAGUCUGAGUUGAUUAUCGUAAUCAGUUAAAACUUUCAACAACGGAUCUCUUGGUUCCGGCAUCGAUGAAGAACGCAGCGAAAUGCGAUAAGUAAUGUGAAUUGCAGAAUUCAGUGAAUCAUCGAGUCUUUGAACGCACAUUGCGCCCCCUGGUAUUCCGGGGGGCAUGCCUGUCCGAGCGUCAUUGCUGCCCUCAAGCACGGCUUGUGUGUUGGGCCCCCGUCCCCCUCUCCCGGGGGACGGGCCCGAAAGGCAGCGGCGGCACCGCGUCCGGUCCUCGAGCGUAUGGGGCUUUGUCACCUGCUCUGUAGGCCCGGCCGGCGCCAGCCGACACCCAACUUUAUUUUUCUAAGGUUGACCUCGGAUCAGGUAGGGAUACCCGCUGAACUUA
rnacentral:rRNA from 1 species